rnacentral:rRNA from 1 species
AUUGAACGCUGGCGGCAGGCCUAACACAUGCAAGUCGAACGAGCGGCGGACGGGUGAGUAAUGUCUGGGAAACUGCCCGAUGGAGGGGGAUAACUACUGGAAACGGUAGCUAAUACCGCAUACAAUCGGAUGGACCCAGAUGGGAUUAGCUAGUAGGUGGGGUAAAGGCUCACCUAGGCGACGAUCCCUAGCUGGUCUGAGAGGAUGACCAGCCACAAUGGAACUGAGACACGGUCCAGACUCCUACGGGAGGCAGCAGUGGGGAAUAUUGCACAAUGGGCGCAAGCCUGAUGCAGCCAUGCCGCGUGUAUGAAGAAGGCCUUCGGGUUGUAAAGUACUUUCAGCGGGGAGGCGUUACCCGCAGAAGAAGCACCGGCUAACUCCGUGCCAGCAGCCGUGGUAAUUC